GAUGAACGCUAGCGGGAGGCCUAACACAUGCAAGCCGAGCGGUAUGGGUAGCUUGCUACCCAGAGAGCGGCGUACGGGUGCGUAACACGUGUGCAACCUGCCCCUAUCCGGGGGAUAGCCCUCCGAAAGGAGGAUUAAUACCCCAUAAUAUAUCUGGUGGCAUCACUAGAUAUUGAAAACCCCGGUGGAUAGGGAUGGGCACGCGCAAGAUUAGAUAGUUGGCGGGGUAACGGCCCACCAAGUCGAUGAUCUUUAGGGGUCCUGAGAGGGAGAUCCCCCACACGGGUACUGAGACACGGACCAGACUCCUACGGGAGGCAGCAGUGAGGAAUAUUGAACAAUGGGUGGAAGCCUGAUCCAGCCAUCCCGCGUGAGGGACGACGGCCCUAUGGGUUGUAAACCUCUUUUGUACGGGGAUAAACCUAUCUACGUGUAGAUAGCUGAAGGUACCGUACGAAUAAGCACCGGCUAACUCCGUG
rnacentral:rRNA from 1 species